rnacentral:rRNA from 1 species
GACGAACGCUGGCGGCGUGCUUAACACAUGCAAGUCGAACGGGAUUUAGUAAACAGAAGCCUCGGUGGAAGAUUACUAAUGAGAGUGGCGAACGGGUGAGUAACGCGUGAGCAACCUGCCUAUGACAGUGGGAUAGCCUCGGGAAACCGGGAUUAAUACCGCAUAAAAUCGUAGAAACACAUGUUUUAACGGUCAAAGAUUUAUCGGUCAUAGAUGUGCUCGCAUCUGAUUAGCUAGUUGGUAAGAUAACAGCCCACCAAAGCGACGAUCAGUAGCCGGUCUGAGAGAAUGAACGGCCACAUUGGAACUGAGACACGAUCCAAACUCCUACGGGAGGCAGCAGUGGGGAAUAUUGCACCAUAGGGGAAACCCUGAUGCAGCGACGCCGCGUGAACGAAGAAGGUAUUCGUAUCGUAAAGUUCUAUCCUAUGGGAAGAUAAUGACGGUACCAUAGAAGAAAGCUCCGGCUAAAUACGUG